rnacentral:rRNA from 1 species
AUACAGAGGGUGCAAGCGUUAAUCGGAAUUACUGGGCGUAAAGCGUACGUAGGCGGUUUGGUAAGUCAGAUGUGAAAGCCCUGAGCUUAACUUGGGAACUGCAUUUGAAACUGCCUGACUAGAGUGUGAUAGAGGAUAGUGGAAUUUCCGGUGUAGCGGUGAAAUGCGUAGAGAUCGGAAGGAACACCAGUGGCGAAGGCGGCUAUCUGGAUCAACACUGACGCUGAGGUACGAAAGCGUGGGGAGCAAACAGGAUUAGAAACCCCGGUAGUCC